GGGGAAUCUUGCGCAAUGGGCGAAAGCCUGACGCAGCGACGCCGCGUGGGGGAAGAAGGCCUUCGGGUUGUAAACCUCUUUCAGGAGGGACGAAGCCACUCGGGUGAAUAGCCCAGAGGGUGACGGUACCUCCAGAAGAAGCCCCGGCUAACUACGUGCCAGCAGCCGCGGUAAUACGUAGGGGGCGAGCGUUGUCCGGAUUUACUGGGUGUACAGCGCGCGCAGGCGGUCGUGUAUGUGAGCGGUGACAUCCGCGGGCUCAACCCGCGGCGGCCCGCUUACACAGCGCGACUGGAGGCAGGGAGAGGGAUGUGGAAUACCCGGUGGAGCGGUGAAAUGCGUAGAGAUCGGGUGGAACACCAGCGGCGAAGGCGGCAUCCUGGCCCUGUACUGACGCUGAGGCGCGAUAGCGUGGGGAGCAAAC
rnacentral:rRNA from 1 species